GAAGCGUGGACGCUUCGCUUUUGAUAUGUAAAGUUUUGGGAACCUUUGAUGUAUAUUUGAUAUAUAUAUCUUGAAAUUCAAUUGAGGAUUGUAGUGAACGACUGAGUCCCGGCGAGAGCUGGGCAGGCGGCCCGCCGAACCCUCUGGUUCGCCUUAGGGGGAGGUGGGGCCGUGACAAUUGGUAUCAGAGCUUAGGAUUCAGAUCUCUGUAGUGUAUCCUAGGCUUGAAGUUUAGGAUGCCGGACUGUGGGAUUGAUUUGACUCUUGAGAGAUUUUUGCGGGAUGUCUUGACUUGAUUGGUACAAAAGGGAAUGUCGAGGACGACAUUCUUUUAAGGAGGGGAGAUUGUGACGCCCCGAAAAAAAAUGAGUUUGAGAACCCGGAAAUUUUCUAGGGUUUAUUUUAUUUAAUCGCCCGUUUUUUCUACAUUUUCUUUAUUAGAAAAAAUUCCCCAGAUAAUGUUUCUGAGCAAAGAUAGUUUUAAAAUGAUUUUUCUAGUAUCGGUUAGUGUUUGAGAAAUUAAAAGCGUAUUUUGAAUGUGGGACCCACUAGGGCGAAAAGUUCGGAAAAAUUCGACCAAUUAGGUUAAAUUCCGGAUACUGUGUAAAAUUUAUCGGGUGUUAAGAGAUAAGUAGAGUGUGUGAAAGGAUUGAUGUGAGAGAGAAAAAAAAGGAUAGGAAUGCAUUAAUGAAGUGCCACGUGUCACUUGGUGAUUGGUUUUGACUUAAGAACACUAUUCAUUUUUUUUGACUUUGGACCAAAAUUGGUUAAAUAUCUAAAAAUUUCACAAAAAAUCACCAUUUUCUUUCACCUUGUGGCCGGCCCUCUCUCUUGCCAAGAAGGAAGAAAACUUCUUCAAUCUUCAAGCUUUCCACUAGCUCAAAUCAUCCAAAUCAAUCGCACCAACUAGUUUCCACUCCAUACAAUCUUUCCAUUUAGUGUUAGUGGUGAGUUUGGUGAAGUUUUUGGAAGAGCUAAGGUGGUCUACAACUCCGCUUCUCUUGUUUACUAAGUAAGUGAUGAUUGAACAUCCUCUUAUAUCUAAUGAUGCUUAUUUUGUGCCUAAUGGUGGCUUGAGUGAUGGAAUGUGUGAUUUAUUUCUUGAUUUGAAGUGAUUUGGUGAAGUUUUUAUAUUUUUGAGGAAUUUUCUGGUUUAAUAUGAAUGGGAUGUUGUGGCUAUUUUUGAUGAUUGGCAAUGGCUUAUAAAGACUCUAGUAGGUGUGAAUUAGUGAUAAAUGCAACCAAUUUUGGGUUUGGAGUGAAAUGAGAAAAGUUAGGGUUCUUCAACCCCCUUUUCUGUCCGGUUUUGUAUCUCAGGCUUAGAGGACGAAUUGGCUUUUGCUCAAAACAUGAAAGUUGUAGGUAUUGAUGUGUUUGAGGUGCCUGUAAAAUUUCAGGUCAUUUGGAGUAGUGUAGAGUGAGUUAUGUCGUUUUUACUGUUGCUGUUCUGGGUGAUCAGAAUGUGCGAACUGCGAUUGUAAUCGUCUGUUUUGACUGGAAUUUCUUUGGAUUUGGAUGUUGGUGUCUUCUGAUGAAAUGUAGCUUAAUGUCUUAGCUAUCAUAUGCCUUUGGAAUCAAUGCAUUUGGACCUGUAUAGCCUGAAUUGGACUGAUUACAGUUUUGUGUGAUUUGGGAACCUGCAAUUGCGGUUCUGGCUUGGUUUUCUGCAUUUUUGACCUAGUUGUGCUAGGAUUUGGACUGAGUGGCCUUCUACAUUGUUGUAGCCCUGUCUUUUAGCUUCGAGAUGGUGGGUCUUACACCCUCAUCCGAUAAGCGUAGCGCAUUUUGUGCUAUUACCGCAAAGUGACGUCCAAAACUAUUUUUCUGGUUUGAGCUAAACUUUCAUUUCCGGACUUUUCCCUAGCUUGACUUGUACUCGUACUACUUGGAGCUUGCUGAAUGGCUAUUGGAUGAACUUGUUGUUGUGUGUGUACCUUUGGGACUGAUUUGAGGAAGUAAUGAAGCCGUGAUGGCUGGAAAAGUAAGCAAAUUCAGGGGAAGUGCUGUCCAAACUUUGAAGGAACUUGUUUGCAUUGAGUUUGUGAUUUAAGACUUGGAUUUGAGCAAGGCAAUGUUAUAUGCUGGAUGAUUUCUGAGCCGUGGAGGUGAGUGACCUCAAACUGUUCCCAAAUUUACUGUUGAACCGCUUUCCUGCAUUAUCUACUUUUGAACUAUUUUCAAAGUUACUUUUGGGAACUGUUUUCUUACAUAUCAUGUGUGCUUGCAUAUCAGUGUUCCUUGUUUACUGUAUUCCUUGACUUAAUGUCUUGUUAUUAUUGUUCAUUGAUUGUUAAAACGAGUUUUUUAGGCGAGUGUGUACUUUAUCGCACUCGACCUAAAUAUAUGUGAAAUUUUCAAUGAUUAAUGAUUAAAUGCUACUUGCGCAUGAAUGUAAGCAUUUUGGGCUGAACUGGCCAUUGCCCCUUGUUACCGGUUGUCUCGAGCCAGAAGCGGACUCGGUCGGGCGACUAGGAACUUGGGUGAACGUUUCGGUAUACUCGAGUAUUACCUUGUAGGUUGGUGGAGCCUGGCCAAAAGCCAGGGACGGGGUGAAUGAAUGCACGAAUGAAAUAAUGAAAUGCAAUGAAAUGACAGGAGAACGAAUGUAUCAUUUGCACGAAUGUUACUAUCGCUUUCCAUUGUACAUGUUUCUUGAAUUAUUGAUACUCCAUAUUUACUGUUUUGUAAAUGUUGAAAUUGUUUCGGGACUUAUCAUUUGAUUUGAAUUGAACAUCAUUGAAAUGAACGAUUGUGAAACUGAUAUGAUAACUGAUUUUCUUGGUUACUCGCUGAGCUUCUAGCUCACCCCAAAACUGUUUUAUUCCCCUCCACAGGGCUCAAGGCGAAGGAAGGGCUUGUAGUGUUUAUUCAUGGAUUAUCUCAUGUAUGGAUUGUACUUGAAUUUCUUUUUGUGUAAUCAUUCAUGUUGGGAUCGUAUUGAACGUUUAGAAUUGAUUGGAGGUGUAAUAGGCUAGUUUUGGACUUCCUCUUGUAUAAUCAUUGGGAUCAUGGAUCAGAGUGGCGCUGCGGAAGCGUGGACGCUUCGCUUUUGAUAUGUAAAGUUUUGGGAACCUUUGAUGUAUAUUUGAUAUAUAUAUCUUGAAAUUCAAUUGAGGAUUGUAGUGAACGACUGAGUCCCGGCGAGAGCUGGGCAGGCGGCCCGCCGAACCCUCUGGUUCGCCUUAGGGGGAGGUGGGGCCGUGACAAUUGGUAUCAGAGCUUAGGCUUCAGAUCUCUGUAGUGUAUCCUAGGCUUGAAGUUUAGGAUGCCGGACUGUGGGAUUGAUUUGACUCUUGAGAGAUUUUUGCGGGAUGUCUUGACUUGAUU
rnacentral:lncRNA from 1 species